GGNNGCUGGUACGGGUACGGGGAUUAGGGUUCGAUUCCGGAGAGGGAGCCUGAGAAACGGCUACCACAUCCAAGGAAGGCAGCAGGCGCGCAAAUUACCCAAUCCCGACACGGGGAGGUAGUGACAAUAAAUAACAACACAGGGCUCUUUUGGGUCUUGUUAUUGGAAUGAGUACGAUUUAAAUCUCCUAACGAGGAACAAUUGGAGGGCAAGUCUGGUGCCAGCAGCCGCGGUAAUUCCAGCUCCAAUAGCGUAUAUUAAAGUUGUUGCAGUUAAAAAGCUCGUAGUUGAAUUUCAGGCCUGGCUGGACGGUCCGCCCUUCGGGUGAGUACUGUCUGUGGUCGGGUCCUACCUUCUGGCGAAGCGUCAUGGCCUUAACCGGCCGUGGCGGGGAACCAGGACUUUUACUGUGAAAAAAUUAGAGUGUUCAAAGCAGGCAAUCGCUUGGAUACAUUAGCAUGGAAUAAUGGAAUAGGACAAUGGUUCUAUUUGUUGGUUUCUAGGACCGUUGUAAUGAUUAAUAGGGAUAGUUGGGGGCAUUAGUAUUCAAUUGUCAGAGGUGAAAUUCUUGGAUUUAUUGAAGACUAACUACUGCGAAAGCAUUUGCCAAGGAUGUUUUCAUUAAUCAAGAACGAAAGUUAGGGGAUCGAAGACNAUCAGAUACCGUCGUAGUCUUAACCAUAAACUAUGCCGACUAGGAAUCGGGCGAUGUUGAAAAAAUGACGCGCUCGGCACCUCAUGGGAAACCAACUUUUNNGGGNUCUAACAUAAA
rnacentral:rRNA from 1 species